rnacentral:rRNA from 1 species
CCUACGGGAGGCAGCAGGGAGGAAUAUUGGUCAAUGGGCGUAAGCCUGAACCAGCCAAGUCGCGUGAGGGAUGAAGGUUCUAUGGAUCGUAAACCUCUUUUAUCAGGGAAUAAAGUGUGGGACGUGUCCUGUUUUGUAUGUACCUUAUGAAUAAGGAUCGGCUAACUCCGUGCCAGCAGCCGCGGUAAUAAGGAGGAUACGAGCGUUAUCCGGAUUUAUUAGGUUUAAAGGGUGCGUAGGCGGCCUUUUAAGUCAGCGGUGAAAGUCUGUGGCUCAACCAUAGAAUUGCCGUUGAAACUGGGAGGCUUGAGUAUGUUUGAGGCAGGCGGAAUGCGUGGUGUAGCGGUGAAAUGCUUAGAUAUCACGCAGAACCCCGAUUGCGAAGGCAGCCUGCCAAGCCAUGACUGACGCUGAUGCACGAAAGCGUGGGGAUCAAACAGGAUUAGAUACCCGAGUAGUC